rnacentral:rRNA from 1 species
GAUGAAUGCUGGCGGCGUGCCUAACACAUGCAAGUCGAGCGGCAGCGCGGGGUGCUUGCACCCUGUCGGCGAGCGGCGAACGGCUGAGUAACGCGUAGGAAUUUGCCCCAAAGUGAGGAAUAACUGCCCGAAAGGGUAGCUAAUGCCGCAUAUGGUCUUCGGAUUAAAGGAUUUAUCCGCUUUGGGAGAAGCCUGCGUUGGAUUAGGUUGUUGGUAGGGUAAUGGCCUACCAAGCCGACGAUCCAUAGCUGGCCUGAGAGGAUGAUCAGCCAGACUGGAACUGAGACACGGUCCAGACUCCUACGGGAGGCAGCAGUGAGGAAUCUUCCACAAUGGGCGAAAGCCUGAUGGAGCAACGCCGCGUGAAGGAUGAAGGCCUUCGGGUUGUAAACUUCUUUUAUGAGUGAAGAAUAUGACGGUAACUCAUGAAUAAGCACCGGCUAACUACGUG